rnacentral:rRNA from 1 species
AUGCCGCCCCCGCCGCGGCCGCGGACGAGGCGGACGAGAAGGCGACGGGGAAGGCGGCCAGGGCGGCCGCGCCGGACAAGUCCAUCCACCUCGUCCCCCUCCUCACGCUCCUCUGCCUCCUCGUCCUCUUCCUCUUCUCCCACGACCCGGCCACUUCCCGCGCCAUCGCCGGUAAGUAGCCAGCCAAACGUUCGCUCCACUCCCUUCCCCUCGCCGGCCCUGCUCCUAACGCCGCUCGCGCGUCCCUGCAGAUUCGCCGCCCGUCCUGGCCGUCACCGCCCGCUCCCUCGAGGCCACAGCGGACACGACGCCGUCGGUGGCUCGCGGCGGCGCGCACCAGCGGCUGAAGGCGGACCCGACGCCGCGCCGCGGGCGAAGGCUGGGGGCGCCGCGGCGGUGACGGCGACGGCGCGGAAUUGGGGAACGGGGAGGCUAAGGCUGGCCCACGUCCGCGCAAGCAGCUAG